ACUCCUACGGGAGGCAGCAGUCACGGUAAUCUUCCACAAUGGACGAAAGUCUGAUGGAGCAACGCCGCGUGAGUGAUGAAGGUUUUCGGAUCGUAAAACUCUGUUGUUAGGGAAGAACACCCGGGAGAGGAUCCCGGUUUGACGGUACCUGACGAGAAAGCCCCGGCUAACUACGUGCCAGCAGCCGCGGUAAUA
rnacentral:rRNA from 1 species